rnacentral:rRNA from 1 species
CGCAGCGAGAGGUGCUUGCACCUUUCAAGCGAGUGGCGAACGGGUGAGUAACACGUGGAUAACCUGCCUCAAGGCUGGGGAUAACAUUUGGAAACAGAUGCUAAUACCGAAUAAAACUUAGUAUCGCAUGAUAUCAAGUUAAAAGGCGCUACGGCGUCACCUAGAGAUGGAUCCGCGGUGCAUUAGUUAGUUGGUGGGGUAAAGGCUUACCAAGACGAUGAUGCAUAGCCGAGUUGAGAGACUGAUCGGCCACAUUGGGACUGAGACACGGCCCAAACUCCUACGGGAGGCUGCAGUAGGGAAUCUUCCACAAUGGGCGCAAGCCUGAUGGAGCAACGCCGCGUGUGUGAUGAAGGCUUUCGGGUCGUAAAGCACUGUUGUAUGGGAAGAAAUGCUAAAAUAGGGAAUGAUUUUAGUUUGACGGUACCAUACCAGAAAGGGACGGCUAAAUACGUGCCAGCAGCCGCGGUAAUACGUAUGUCCCGAGCGUUAUCCGGAUUUAUUGGGCGUAAAGCGAGCGCAGACGGUUGAUUAAGUCUGAUGUGAAAGCCCGGAGCUCAACUCCGGAAUGGCAUUGGAAACUGGUUAACUUGAGUGUUGUAGAGGUAAGUGGAACUCCAUGUGUAGCGGUGGAAUGCGUAGAUAUAUGGAAGAACACCAGUGGCGAAGGCGGCUUACUGGACAACAACUGACGUUGAGGCUCGAAAGUGUGGGUAGCAAACAGGAUUAGAUACCCUGGUAGUCCACACCGUAAACGAUGAAUACUAGGUGUUAGGAGGUUUCCGCCUCUUAGUGCCGAAGCUAACGCAUUAAGUAUUCCGCCUGGGGAGUACGACCGCAAGGUUGAAACUCAAAGGAAUUGACGGGGACCCGCACAAGCGGUGGAGCAUGUGGUUUAAUUCGAAGCAACGCGAAGAACCUUACCAGGUCUUGACAUCCUUUGAAGCUUUUAGAGAUAGAAGUGUUCUCUUCGGAGACAAAGUGACAGGUGGUGCAUGGUCGUCGUCAGCUCGUGUCGUGAGAUGUUGGGUUAAGUCCCGCAACGAGCGCAACCCUUAUUGUUAGUUGCCAGCAUUCAGUUGGGCACUCUAGCGAGACUGCCGGUGACAAACCGGAGGAAGGCGGGGACGACGUCAGAUCAUCAUGCCCCUUAUGACCUGGGCUACACACGUGCUACAAUGGCGUAUACAACGAGUUGCCAACCUGCGAAGGUGAGCUAAUCUCUUAAAGUACGUCUCAGUUCGGACUGCAGUCUGCAACUCGACUGCACGAAGUCGGAAUCGCUAGUAAUCGCGGAUCAGCACGCCGCGGUGAAUACGUUCCCGGGUCUUGUACACACCGCCCGUCACACCAUGGGAGUUUGUAAUGCCCAAAGCCGGUG